rnacentral:rRNA from 1 species
CCUACGGGUGGCAGCAGUAGGGAAUAUUGCUCAAUGGGGGAAACCCUGAAGCAGCAACGCCGCGUGGAGGAUGAAGGUUUUCGGAUUGUAAAAUCCUUUUGUUAGAGAAGAUAAUGACGGUAUCUAACGAAUAAGCACCGGCUAACUCCGUGCAGGAAGCCGCGGUAAUACGGGGGGUGCAAGGGUUACCCGGAUUAAUCGGGCGUAAGGAGCGCGUAGGCGGAUUUUUAAGUCAGCGGUAAAAUGUCCGGGCCCAACCCGGGCCGGCCGUUGAAACUGGGGAUCUUGAGUGGGCGAGAAGUAUGCGGAAUGCGUGGUGUAGCGGUGAAAUGCAUAGAUAUCACGCAGAACUCCGAUUGCGAAGGCAGCAUACCGGCGCCCGACUGACGCUGAGGCACGAAAGCGUGGGGAUCGAACAGGAUUAGAUACCCGAGUAGUC